UACGUAGGGUGCGAGCGUUGUCCGGAAUUAUUGGGCGUAAAGAGCUCGUAGGCGGUCUGUCGCGUCGAUCGUGAAAACUUGGGGCUUAACCCUGAGCUUGCGGUCGAUACGGGCAUGACUGGAGUUCGGCAGGGGAGACUGGAAUUCCCGGUGUAGCGGUGAAAUGCGCAGAUAUCAGGAGGAACACCGGUGGCGAAGGCGGGUCUCUGGGCCGAUACUGACGCUGAGGAGCGAAAGCGUGGGGAGCAAACAGG
rnacentral:rRNA from 1 species